rnacentral:lncRNA from 10 species
CAGGGGGCAGUCAGAGCUCUUUCCAUUUCCCACAAUUGCCUGGCCACCUAGGUCUAAAAUGCAGAGAGAGGACGUGCAGGGGGUGGCUCUGGAGUUACAAAGCUGCCCCUGAAGCCUGCUGGACGGGACACGGGUCGAGGGAAGGACAUUUCUCCAUUCAGACCCUGUGUGAGAAACGCACCACACGGAGGAGAGGUCUUGAGGAAAGGCCCUGUCGCGUUUCACGUGGCACGCCCUGGAUCUCUUGCCGUAACAGUGGCUCAAAAGAAAAUGCACCAGAGUAAUGAUGCUGUGGGCUCUAAGGGUCUCCGCAAAGACGCACCCCCCUCAUAAGCGGAUUCUAGUCUCUGGGUUUCACUGCCAGCCUGCCCCAGAGCAGUGCUUGGCCCAACACCCUGCCAACGGGGUGAGCGGGCUUACAAACCGCUCAUGCGUGAAGGUUACGUAAAAACAAGCCGCCCAGCUCCCCUGCAGGCAGGCGGAUGGACAAACGGCACUGCUGGGACCCUGCUUGGCCAUGGGGGAAGGACACACACAGCCUGGGUGAGUCCCCGAAUCACUGUACCGAGUGGAAGAUGUCAGAGGAAACCACGUACGCACUGCAGGAGGCCAUUAUGCAAAGCUCUAGAAGAUGCAAAUUAACCUACAGUGACUGAAGGCAGAAAGAAAACAAAAAGCAGCCCAAGGCGAAAAAGUCGAUCCUGUGCCCUGAGCACAGGCAGUCCUGAGGUGCGAGCGGUUUCCCACCAGGCUCUUCUUGGCCUUUCGAGAACUUCAGCCCCUCUCUGCUGUUUCCUGUUGCUGGCAUCCACUUUCCCAUCUCACAAUAUUUUCUCCUGUCUGGUCUCCUGUAUCUGAAACCCACUGCUACGGGAUCUCCCCUCUUUCUGGAAAAUGUUCAUUAAACAGGAAACAAACCCACCCUUUAAGCAUCUUCCUUUCUUGCAUGAAGCUGAGUAACUCACCAUCUGCCCUUGCUUCCAGGCAGCUCAGCUAGACUGCCCACAGCCACACUGUCCAGUAUGGAAGCCCUGGCCACAUGUUUACAUUAAUUAAAAUAAAACACAGCCGGGCAUGGUGGCACGAGCCUGUAGUCCCAGCUAUUCGGGAGGCUGAGAUGGGAGGAUUGCUUCGGUCCAGAAGUUUGAGACCAGCCUGGGCAACGUGGCGAGACCUCAUCUCCGAAACAAGUAAAUACAACUAAAAAUCCAGUUCCUCAGUUCCAUGAGUCAUGCCUAAAAUGCUCAACGGCCCUAUGUGGCCAGCAGCUACUGAAGUGGACAGCACCAAAUACAACAUUUCCAUCAUCCCAGAACGUUCUGUCAGAAAGGCUGCUCCAAAGAGACAGUCCUUGACCUUCCGGAACUGCACAGUUUGGUGAGAUGUGUGCAGAGACAGAGGAAAGCCGGCUUCCCUUUAUCCACACACACAGAUGGCCAGCAUCUCCGGGUGUGCCGAGAAAAGGAAACAACAGGCUCAGGCUGAAUGAACCAAAG